UACCUCUCAGGAUCGCACCUGGAGAGUUUCUAGUACUCUACCAGUCUCGGCUACGGGAGGGAGAGUCAAGCAGAGGUGCACCUAUUCCAUUCCUAGCUUGGCCAGUGGCUAGUGGUGGAAGGUAACUGCUACCAGU